rnacentral:rRNA from 1 species
CUCCAACCCAUUGUGACCUUACCUAUGUUCUGUUGCCUCGGCGGCGUGGUCAGCGCCCCCUCUGAAAAGAGGACGAUGCCCUCCCGCCGGCAGCACCAAACUCUUUGAAUUUUACAGCGGAUUACAGUUCUGAUUUGAAAACAAAAAACAAGUUAAAACUUUCAACAACGGAUCUCUUGGUUCUGGCAUCGAUGAAGAACGCAGCGAAAUGCGAUAAGUAAUGUGAAUUGCAGAAUUCAGUGAAUCAUCGAAUCUUUGAACGCACAUUGCGCCCGGCAGUAAUCUGCCGGGCAUGCCUGUCCGAGCGUCAUUUCAACCCUCGAACCUCCGUUUCCUCAGGGAAGCUCAGGGUCGGUGUUGGGGCGCUACGGCGAGUCUUCGCGACCCUCCGUAGGCCCUGAAAUACAGUGGCGGUCCCGCCGCGGUUGCCUUCUGCGUAGUAAGUCUCUUUUGCAAGCUCGCAUUGGGUCCCGGCGGAGGCCUGCCGUCAAACCACCUAUAACUCCAGAUGGUUUGACCUCGGAUCAGGUAGGGUUACCCGCUGAACUUAAGCAUAUCAAUAAGCGGAGGUAAAGAAA